rfam:Triticum aestivum genome assembly, contig: Triticum_aestivum_CS42_TGACv1_scaffold_130824_2BL
AAACUACUCCCUCCGUUCCGAAUUACUUGUCUUGGAUUUGUCUAGAUACAGAUUUACCUAGACUCAUUUUAGUGCUAGAUACAUCCGUAUCUAGACAAAUCCAAGACAAGUAAUUCGGAACGGAGGGAGUAGUAG